UAUGCUAAAACACCCAAGUCUGAUCUUCGUAACAGGAGAACACAGUGAACCACGUCGAUCGAAGUAAAAUGACUUAAUCACCCAAAAUGAGUUGAGUAUCUUGCUUUGCCCACCCUGUCGAUCAACACGCAACACGUGCAACAAACGGAGGGACUGACGCGUUUUAGAAAAGUGCCACAAGAACAAAGUGAGCUUGAUUCAGUGUCCAAUAGUCGUCAGCAGAUGCUGUUUAAACCAAUCUGUCCAGAAUCAGCACACAUUCAUAUUG